UAGGGAAUCUUCGGCAAUGGACGGAAGUCUGACCGAGCAACGCCGCGUGAGUGAAGAAGGUUUUCGGAUCGUAAAGCUCUGUUGUUAGAGAAGAACGUUGGUAGGAGUGGAAAAUCUACCAAGUGACGGUAACUAACCAGAAAGGGACGGCUAACUACGUGCCAGCAGCCGCGGUAAUACGUAGGUCCCGAGCGUUGUCCGGAUUUAUUGGGCGUAAAGCGAGCGCAGGCGGUUCUUUAAUUCUGAAGUUAAAGGCAGUGGCUUAACCAGUAUACGCUUUGGAAACUGGAGGGCUUGAGUGCGGAAGGGGAGAGUGGAAUUCCAUGUGUAGCGGUGAAAUGCGUAGUUAUAUGGAGGAACACCGGUGGCGAAAGCGGCUCUCUGGUCUGUAACUGACGCUGAGGCUCGAAAGCGUGGGGAGCAAACAGG
rnacentral:rRNA from 1 species